CAGGCCUAACACAUGCAAGUCGAGCGGAAACGAGUUAUCUGAACCUUCGGGGAACGAUAACGGCGUCGAGCGGCGGACGGGUGAGUAAUGCCUAGGAAAUUGCCCUGAUGUGGGGAUAACCAUUGGAAACGAUGGCUAAUACCGCAUAAUGCCUACGGGCCAAAGAGGGGGACCUUCGGGCCUCUCGCGUCAGGAUAUGCCUAGGUGGGAUUAGCUAGUUGGUGAGGUAAUGGCUCACCAAGGCGACGAUCCCUAGCUGGUCUGAGAGGAUGAUCAGCCACACUGGAACUGAGACACGGUCCAGACUCCUACGGGAGGCAGCAGUGGGGAAUAUUGCACAAUGGGCGCAAGCCUGAUGCAGCCAUGCCGCGUGUGUGAAGAAGGCCUUCGGGUUGUAAAGCACUUUCAGUCGUGAGGAAGGUAGUGUAGUUAAUAGCUGCAUUAUUUGACGUUAGCGACAGAAGAAGCACCGGCUAACUCCGUGCCAGCAGCCGCGGUAAUACGGAGGGUGCGAGCGUUAAUCGGAAUUACUGGGCGUAAAGCGCAUGCAGGUGGUUUGUUAAGUCAGAUGUGAAAGCCCGGGGCUCAACCUCGGAAUUGCAUUUGAAACUGGCAGACUAGAGUACUGUAGAGGGGGGUAGAAUUUCAG
rnacentral:rRNA from 1 species